ACUACUUUUUGGGUCAGGACCCCUACAAUUAGAAAUUUCUUGAAAUUUCUGAUUUAAAUAGCUGAAAUCAUGAAAUGUAUGAUUUUUAAAAUCCUAUGACUGUGAAAUUGGCUAGACUGGACCAUGAAUUUGGGAGGGCCCUAUGUAUUACUGUGGGCAAGGUUUGUAUG